GUCUGUUGUCUGAGACCUGAACCUGGGGUCAAUGAGCUUGGCCACUCCGAAGUCGCCGAGCUUGGUUGUGAAGUUGGUGUCGAGCAGCACGUUGGCUGCCUUUAUGUCCCGGUGGAGAACCCAUUGCUCGAGCUCCUCGUGGAGGUAGUUAAGGGCGGAUGCCAGGCCAAGCGCCACGCCGUAUCGCACAGCCCACGGCAGGCUUCUCCGGGGCCCAAAGAGGUGGUGGUCGAGGCUGCCAUUGGGCAUGUACUCGUAGACGAGCAAGAACUCACCUUCCUCUUGACACCACCCAACAAACGGCACCAGGUUUCUGUGUAUUGUUCGGCUUAUGAUCUUCACCUCGUUGACAAAGACCUUCUCGGAGUGUCGGGACUCCGCAAAGAUCCUUUUGACGGCGACCAGGCGGUUCGAAUGGCUCAAGAACCCUUUAUAGACUUGGGCAGACCCGCCUCGGCCCAGCCUUCUAUCGUCUGCGAAGCCAUUGGUCGCCGCGAGCAACUCCUGAUAAGUGAACUUCGUAGGCAAUGCGCCAAUCUCUUUAUCUAUGUCGGUAAGGGCGCUAUAACCAUGCUUUUCCCUCCUCUUGACGGCUAAAAAGCAAGAACUUGCGGAGAUCACCAGUAAAAAACAUGUCGUGGGAACAACGACCAGUAUCCAUAACCGGCGAGGUUCAUCUACGUCGUCCAAAUCCGAAGUGAACUCCCAUGAAUUGACGCUGUGUCUCUCUGGAUGUUCGCCGAUAGAAGCUGAGAACCCGAUCACUGCAGAUUCAGGAAGGACUCUUGCCAGAUCAACAAGGCAAGAAAGCGAGUGAUUGGCCUUAUAGUGGGAAGGCGGUUUGCCGUCGAACGACCAGAACACGCUGAGGUUCUUGCUCGCAGAAUUGUAGGUCACGUUAACAUUGACCGCUUUCCCGCUUUGCGAUACUGGAUCCCAGGGGGCAAGAACGACCGACGACAGCGAGUUCUGAUUGAUUCCUAUGUGAUACCAAUGGGGAUCAAACUCCCAGUUCAUAUAGGUGUCGAACUCGACCAUGACAAUCCGGUUCUGAGGCCCUUCAUUAAACGUGCUCGCGUUGAACAAUCCCAGGAAUCCGCCAGCCGAGUUGGGCGGGAUCGGGAUCCCCACGGGAGCGAGGAAGAAGGUGAUGCCAUCACUGUGCUGAGCAGAGCCGUCAGUCUCGAUGGUGAACGAGAAACGGGUUGAGAAGUUCGCUUGGCGCCCCGUGACACGAUCCCAUAUGCGGACAGGCUUGGCGUACUUAAUCCGCCCCACCUGGUAGCGAUGCGCAGGAUGGAGGCGGGUGAGAUCGACAUGUCCAUACGUGACCUCCGAAACUCCCUCGUGCAAUAUGUCCCUACUAUCCGUGUCGAAGCUGCUUAUGUUGAAGUAGAGAGGGGCAACACGGGAUCGAAGGACAGCAGACAAGGCAGAACAAGAACAAGCGAGCUUGCAAAGAAAGAGAACGGGGAGUCGCGCGCGGCAUACUUAAGACGGGCUUUGGUGGGAAUUGGAUCACCGACACUGCGAGAUCUAUAUGUUACAUUAGGGAGCUUUAAAAUGAACCCGAGCGUACCUAAUGGCUUACCGGACACGGCGAGCAAUCAUAGAUCAAGCAGCUUCUAUGAUAGUUCCUUGUUUUCUGCUACAGUCAGAUGGAAUAGGUUAUUAGACGUCUGGUGGGUACCAUUGCUAUCUUCCGAACACGAAAUGUCAACACGGUUUUCCCUAUCGCUCCAGCUAUUGCGCAAUUGGUGGAAAAAAUUGCGAGUGUUUGAAAGAGCCUUGGACAAAGACCGUGGAGAUGGAAACUGACCGAUCGAUAGUGACUGGCUGCCGGUGAUAUGAAGCUAGAGAACGAGCUAGCUGGCUGCAGAUCAAAGAUUUGAAUUUUCUGGGGGAGCUUGUGUGGUUCACCAUUUUUGCAGACAUUAUCCGACCACUCAAUGUCUCUGUCCACAAUUGUGGAGGAAAGGAGAGCAAGCUUUGGUUAAAUGAAGAGACUUAAAUGAGGGUUGAGAGUCCAUUUGAUGCAGCUCGCAUUGAGGACCAGCUCUCUCAACCAAGAAGAUCGGCCCAUAUUAAAGCUCAAUGAAACCGAGAAGCCGUAUCGACCAUCCUUGGAGAGUUGCAGUCAUCGAUCUAGAAAAAUCGGUGCCCCCUCAACUUCCUUGGAGGCCUAGGUGAGCAACUAACGGAGUUUCUAUCUUUUCCUUUUCUGUUCGUUAUUUCCAACCCAAUUUCGACCAUCCUACAGUGCUUAUUUCAGAAAACGCAAAACAUAUAAAGUGUAGAUCCAGAAGUCUUUGUUCAUUUGGCUUUGGAAUCAGGUUGAUCCGAUCUAUAUCAACAAAGAUACGACUGUUCUAUUGAGCCUGCUCAGUGUUGAAAUUUCUGUUCGCCCUGUUUUCCCGUGUGCAAGUCACUCUCCCGAUCCUAUUGUUUGAGAAAGCCUACCCUUGGCUUGCAUCAUUAUUGCUCAAAAGCCAUUGAUUAUGAUGAUGAAAAAACUUCGAACACUACCUAUCGAAUUAUCUUAUUCGUCAACCAUGUGUGCCAAAUCUUUCAUACAAGUUGUAUUUGAGAACUACUUUCAUGUUAUCGAAGCACAAGAGCCAUGGUCAAGUUCAAUCAAACUCUUGUAGACCCUCAUUUCACAGCUUGUCCAGCCCAUCGAGAACAUUACAGGCCUAUUUGGUUCUUGAGAUAGUUUCAUUCGAUGAAACUGUGUCGUAGGUAGUAUUUUGAAAGCUCACAUGGAUGCAGAAUCUUGUGUGAUACGGCAAGAUAAAAUCAUUUUGCCAAAUCUUGGUCUUAAGAAUCCAAGAUCAAAAAUGUUAUGCAAUUGACAUAGCAUGUCCUUAGUGACUAACACUAAACUCCUGAUGGCCCAAGUAUUGAUGGGGCAAUUGCUGCAUACCCAAAUGCAUUAGACCCCAUGCAUGCAAUAUGUCGGAUAAUUUGAGUCUCACUAGGAAUUCGUAAGAUCCAAGAAAUCUUGUUUACUGGAUCUAUAUUUUCUGGCUGCGGCCAAUAAUUUUCUGUACCAGUGGCCCCCGUAUGCCCUUUUGAGUUUGCUCCCGCACUAUCAUGGUUGAGAUUUCGUGGUUUAAGCUUCACAAUGAACCUCAAAAGUUACUGUCCUUCCUUGUUCAAAGGUGCGUGAUGAAUCGAAUUUAUCGCGCUUGUGAUGGGAAACGGUCAGACACUUGAAGAGUCCCAAACAAUCCAUUCCUCACGAAACAAAAUUGUAAUGAAAAAGAUCUUUGGGUGAAAACAAUUGAAAACGUCCCAUUUAUUAUUUUCACUCUUUCCACGAGGACCCGGCCGAAAUCAGAACAUGGUUUUGACAAAAAUGAAACUAUAGUUCUCGGUUAGAAAACAUGUUUUUUUUUUCUUUUCUAAUCAAACACAAUAAUUACGAAUAUACACAAGUAAAAACUAAAAUUAUUCUCAUUUUCAUAGGCAUAUUUUGAGAAAUCACGUGCGGUCUAUAUAGAAAAUUAAAGCAGUGACUGAGGUUGAAUCUGCCUUGAUCUUAGCUAUUAGGCCUUAAUGGAACUUAUUACAAAAAACCCAUUGUCCGCUUGAACCAAAGGUUAUAGAUGCUAUAACAAAACUUCGUAAGAAAAUAACUAGAGAAAUCUAUGAAGAUCGAAUUAGGUCUCAAGAUAAAAAUCGGUCUACCAACCACAAGAAAAGUGGAAAUGAAAGCAAUGUAGUUUCGAGUGAAUGGAUACUCCAAGAUAGAACAAGAAAAGUUGAAUCCGAUUAAUUCAACUUCUAUGACUUUGGAAUAAUUAGAAAAUUACAAAAAACGAAAUUAUUCAUUUUGAGCAACAAAGUUCGAUUUAAUCAAAUUUGACAACAGGUUUUCUAACAAGUCUUGCAAGGAGCUUUUGGAACUCUUAAUAGUUGGUUGAAUAACGAGUUACAUUACUUGCCCUGCCCUCGACUGUCUGGCGGGAUCUGGGUGCACGCACCAUAGCCCCACCAUCAUCAGGCACUUCAUCUCCUCCUAUGGGAACUCCGAGUGCAACACCUCGUCAACCGCGCGCCGAGGACGUUGCUAGCAAGGUAGAGUUGCUAGACCCACUCGUGUAGUGAGACCUGGAUCUCUGUUCUCAUAGCUCCUCCGGCCAUGACACCAAAGCUAAACAUGUCGGACUCCGGGGUGGCCUUCCCUCCAAUAAAGUAUUUUGGCGCUAGAUACCCGCAAGUCCCAACCACGUCUGCUGUCUGAGUCCUGAAUCGGGGGUCGACAAGCUUGGCCACUCCAAAGUCGGCAAGCUUGGUGCUGAAGUUGGAGUCGAGUAGUACAUGGGCUGCCUUUAUGUCCUGGUGGAGCACAUAUUGCUCGAGAUCAUCCUCAUAGCUCCUCUGGCCAUCAUGCCGAAGCUGAACAUGUUGGACUCCGUGGUGGCCUUUGUGGGAUGCAAAACGUGCAAUCCCAAGAUCUUCAUAACCAAAACAAGAGCACAAAUGAUUGAGUAAAAAGAUUAACGCACCUAUUUUGAAAUCUAUCGUUCUUGAUGAGGAAGUAGAAAAAUGAUGAUCCACUCGCUAGUCAUUCUCCUCUAUUGUCCUUUGUAUUACUGACUUAAUGAGCUGGUCCCCUCACCCUUUAGCGCUAGGUAAACGCUCCUUAUGUGAGGAUCUUUGUAAGAAUUAGGGUUAGAUGAGAGAUUUGAGCACUAUUUAUAGAAUUUUCAACUAGGUCCUCUCAUUAUAAGCUAGGCUCAACUCGGCCCACAUUAGCCAGUCCCAUAUUAGACUAAUAAAGAAACAUUUUAUUUCACUUUAGACCAACCAACCCCGUAAAAUGGUAAAUUACAAUAUCAAUUUAUGUAGCCUACAUCUUGAAAACUCUUACAUUCUCUCACUUGGGCUAUAUUAAUUGAAAUUGUACUGUAUGUGCGCAUAUUAGUUUAGAAAUAAUUAUUAAUAAUCAAUUCCAUCCCAUAAAGUUUUUUUUUUUUUUUUGGUGACCCAGGGAACCCCUGCACAGCCGACAGCUGUGAAGUAAACAUUGGGAAGGCACGUAGGAAACCACCACCAACGCACCCCGGGUAAGUCGCCAAAUGAUCCGUCAGCCUCCUUGCAACUUGCGUUGCAGGGGCUUUGAACUCUAGACCUCCUACGUGGAAGUCUAGAGCCUACCCAACGGAGCCACCGCGACGGGUGGUUCCAUCCCAUAAAGUUUCAAACACCAAAUCAUGACAGUAAUUGCAUGUAUACACAUAGAGCCUUCCAUGAUCAUGAGUGCUUUUAACUUUAUUGAUAUGGAUUCAAUAUGGUAGUAUAGCAAAUGGAUAAUACCUCUCACAGAGAAAUCCCAUUUGUCAAUCAAUGUUCUCUUACAUUAAGUGUCACAAAAAACUUGUGCCACUAGAUAAUGUCUUUAUGGUUCCAAUGAACUCACACAUGCCUUAUUUUUAUGGUUAACAUUUCUUUAUAUAUAACAAGACAUAUGCAUAAGGCUAAUAACCGGAUGCCCCUAGCUUUCACUCAAGGUUUAUACAAUACAUUGAGACUUUUAUUAAUAUGUAUUUAACAUAAUAACAACACAUUAAAAAAUAUUACUAAAUGUAACAAACACAAAUGUAAACUUUAUUGCAGUAAAACCGAAAGAGCUCCCACUAAACAACAAUAUCUCAUGAUGCUUUUAAGCUCAUGUUAAUGACAUGUUGCUCAAACACACAAUGGCAUAGGCAUUUAGUUAGUGGAUCUGCAACCAUAUUAUCCGUGGAAAUAAGUUAUAUUAUAACGUCACAUUUUUUUACGUUUCUUUAUAGUAAAAAAUUUGACUACCAUAUAUUUAGACUCUUUGAGAUGUCUAUCGUUAAUAAAAAUACUAUAAAUUUAUUGUCUCAAUACAACUGUAUGAGUGAAUCCAUAAAAUUAAAAAUGAUCAACUCCUUAAUGAGGUUUUGGAGCUUAAUAGCCUAAGUAGCAGCCUAAAAGAAUAUUACAAACUCUGCUUAUAUAGUAGGAGAUGACAUAGUGUUUUAUUUACUGCAUUUCCCGCUAACAUAAAUAUGUAUUAUGUUAUUGGUCUUGUAUCAUCCUAAUAGCUAGCAAAGUUUUUUACAUCUAAAUAUCCUGCUAGCUACAAGACUUGAACAUCUAUGUAAAUCAUCAUACAUUAUACUUUUAAGUACACUGACACAUGGUAUACCCUUUAACUAGAUUUUCUCAAUAUCUUAAUAAAGACAAUGUAAUAGAUUCAGUUCAUUGCCCUUAAUGAUAAGAGCAAUUUCUAGCUUACAAUGAUGUAUAUUGAAUAUUUCCAAAAUACGAUCAACAAAUGUCAUCUAAGAUAAAUCCAAUAUAUAUGGCGAGGACAAUCUUUACGGACCUUAGUGCAAAGGACAAAAGAUGUAUCGAGAUCACUACUUGUAAGCAAAAUAUCAUGUAUAUAAAAUAUGAGAAAAAUAAAUUUUCUCCCAUUGAUCUUGCAGUAUAUAUAUUAAAUUACUUUGUUCCAAAUUAAACGAAAUAACAUCACUGAAACUUUAAUAAUAUUGUCUGAAAACUUAAAAUUAUGAAUAAUAAUUUUCAGUUUACACACAAGUUUACUUGAAUCAUUUGCUACAAAAUCCUCCGGUUACACUAUAUAGAUUUUGUUAUCGUGUCUAUUUAAAAAGAUAGUAUCUAUUUGGCGUAACUCCAUAUAAAAAAAGAGCUAUUAAUGUCAUGUUCACUUUAAAAGAAUUUUUAAAAAUACUAGAAAAAAAUAACUGUUAAUGUCAUGUUUAUUCUGAAAGAAAGGUUCUUGCUCACAGAAUUGUAGGUCACUACAAUAUCGAUCGCUUUCCCGCCGUGCAAUCGGGGAUCCUAGUGGUCAUAACAAGCGAAGAGAGCUGGUUCUUAUUGAUUCCUAUGUGAUUCAAUGGGGGAUCGAACUCUGGGUUCAUGUAAGCGUCAAACUCGACCAUGACGAUCUGGUUUCGAGGCCCGUCAUUAGCUGUGCUACCAUUGAACAAUCCGAGGAAUUGUCUGGCCAAGUUGGGCGGGAUUGAGAUCCCAACAAGAGCGAGGAAGAAGGCCAUGCCAUCGCUGUACUGAUUAGAGCCAUCAAUCUCGAUGGUGAACAAGAAGCGGGUCGAGAAGUUUGCUUGGAGCCCCGUGACAGGGUCCCAUAUGCGGACAGGCUUGGCGUACUGAAUCCACCCAACCUGGAAGGGCUGCGAAGGAUGGAGGGGGGGUGAUAUUGACAUAUCCAUACGUGGCCUUCACAACUCCCUCGUACAAUAUGUCCCUCCUAUCCGUGUCGAAGCUGCUUAUGUUAAAGUAGAGAGGAGCGACAGAGGGGAACAAAGGACAACAUACAAGGCAGGACUGUUGGAGAUACAAUUGAAGAUUGUGAUCGUGGAUCGAUCCUAAUUGUGGACUGAUUGAUUUAGUGAAUAUGUGAUAGUUUUAGUAAAUAGGAAAUUUAAAAUUCUUUGUCUAUUAUUUCCUUUUCUUCUCUUUCAUUCUUGCACUAUAAAUAUAUUAAUAUACUUGUAUACAAAUCAAUGAAUAUACAGAGAAUUUCCUCCCUUUUUCUUGCAUUUCCUGUCAAGGACAAGAACAAUUGAGCGCGAAUGCAGGCGCGCAACGACAGAGAAUGGGGAGUCAUGGGCGGCAUUCUUAACCCCGGCUUUGGUCAGAAUCGGAUCUGUUACAUUAGGGUGGUCGGAAUCGGAUCUGUUACAUUAGGGUGCUUUAUAACGAACCCAAGGGUACCCAAUGGCAGACCAAACAGAGCAAGCAAUCGUUGAUCAAGCAGCUUCUUCGAAGGUUCCUUGUUUUCUGCUAAAGUCGCUGGAAUGCAUUAGUCCCAAGGAGGGACGGUCUUGUAUAGUGGGUACAACUGCUAUCUUCCAAACAAGAAAUGCCAACAUGGUGUGGCUAUAAUAGAUUGUUCCUGUCAUUUCCCAACCGGGGGAAAAGCUGCGGGUUUUCUAGAUUGACUUGCUUUCGAGGAUAUGAAGAGAGCCGAGAGAGCUGACUAGCGAUGAAACUUUUGCAUUCACCGUGAGGAAGCUUGUAUGGUUCACCUCUUUUACAGACAUCGUCAGACCACUCGAUGUCUCUUGUCCAAAUUUGUACAGGAAAGGAGUCCGAGCUUUGGUUAGAUGAAUAGCAAUUUGCAGAGACUUGAAAUCUGGAAGGAGGACGCACCAUAUAAAGUUGGGUCUGUCAAAAAGCUUGUCGAGCAAUGUCGUCCUCUUGAGCAUUUUGGUUUUAAAUUUCGACAAAGCUCAUCUUGCAACAUGCCAAUUCGCUUUAGGAAUAAUCCACUCUAAUCAUCAGUUUUUUUUCUCUAUUGGCAUCCAAUCUAAUUACCUUAUUCUUCAAAUAUGUGCAUGAAAUCUUUCCUCCAAUGCUGUAGUUUGAGAAUGCCUUUAAUUCAAUGGGAGCACACUAGACAUGAUCAAGUUCGAUCAACUUACUCUUUUUGAUCAUCAUUUCCCAGCUUGCCCAGCCCAUCAUCGAGAACAUUACAGGCCUUUUUGGAUCUUGAGAUUUUUAAGUUUCGUUCAAUGGAAAUGUGUGGUUGGUAUUACUUUGAAAAUUAACAUUGAUGCGGAAUUUUUGUGAUAGGGCAAGAUGAAGUGCACUUCGCAAAAUUUUUAUUUGAAGAAUGCAAUAUUGAUGGGACAAUUGUUGCUUAUAGGACAGAUUAGACUUAGUGCAUGUGAUCGUUGGAUUACGUGGGUCUCACUUGGAGUUUGUAUGAUCAAAUGAAUCUCAUUGUGCUGACGUAUAAGCUGCAGCCGAUAAUUUUCUAUACUGAUGGCCCUGGAAGCCCUUUUAAGUUCGGUCCUUCACUAAUUAUGUUGCGACUUUCAUUGUUGACCUCAAAAGCUAUUGAAGUGAUAUAUAUCUUUUUUCUUGUCCAAAGGUUCCAGAUGAAAAGAAUCUGUCACAUGUCACGGUUGUUAUUGUUGGAGAAAUCUUUCCAGAAUGGUUGUUAUUGUUGGAGAAAUCUUUCCAGAAUAUUUUGAAGCUGACAAAACGUUUCUAUCAGUCUAGUCUGAAUAAGUAUAGACCUUCUGUUUAAAGUCUGAAGACUUUCAGAUCACCAGACUCAAGACUCAAGACUAUUUUCAUUGACAGUUUUUCUAAUCCAGUGACGAAGUGCCGAAGUAUUUGGCUGAGGAUUUAGUCCUAUCCUCUGGAGAAGAUCUCUUGGCUGGAUAAAUAUAACGGAUUCUUUUAUUCGUAAUCAAGAUUGUUUGAAGAUCCGAUGGUCGACGAAAUAUUCUUGGAAGGUUCUAUUCUUGGAAACCAAGAUCUUGAUUGUAUGGGCGAACAGGAUUGAUGGGCUAUCGUCAGGUUCCUUUAAUAGCUCGAAUGAUCUUCUUAAUUGAUUCCGUCCAACGGGUAGAUUGGAGGAAUUCUUUUGGUAAGUGCCAACGGGUAUGAUGGCAUAAAGGAGUAUAAAAGGAAGACAUUCUAGUUGCUUUAGUGCAUGAUAGAGAAAUUCCAGAGUCUAAGCACCUUGAUUAUUAGUCGAUACAUUUUGAGCGAAAUUGUAUACACAAAGAGUGUCUAUACUUAGAGAUACCUUGAGCGAGUGUGGUAGAUCAUCUACACCGAGAAAUCAAGAGAGAACAACGCUGUAACAUCUCUUUGUUCAUAGUGGAAUCCAGCCAAUAGGCUGUCAGUGCAGAAGAGUGGACGUAGGCUUGAAAUAAGCCGAACCACUAUAAACCGCGUGUUCAAUUUUCUCUUCUCUCAAUCUUACUUUGAUUAUUGUUUGUCUCAAAUUUAUCAACUGUCUAGUAUUGUGCAAUAAUUGAGAAAAAUCCUUUAUAUACCUAUUCACCCCUCUAGGUACUUAUACUAGCUAUAUCAGUUAUGAAUAUAAUUUAGGGUUGAUGAGUCUUCAACAUUCUAUUUCUGACCAAAAUAAUACUCAAAAGUUUUUAGAGUGAAAACAACUUAAAACAUUGCUUUUAUGAUUUUCGCUCUUUUUUAUGUGGACCCCACCGAAAUCAAAACAUGGUUUUGACAAGAAUGAAACUGCGUUUCUCAGUAAGAAAACGUGAUUUUUUUCUCUCCAACCUAAUAAUUUAAGAAUAUACAAAAGUAAAAGCAAAAAGUUAUACCCAUUUUCAUGGACAUAUUUUGAGAAAUCACAUGCGGUCUAUAUAAAAAAUUAAAACGGUAUCAAAUGUCGCAUUUGCCUUGACCUUAGCUAUCAUCAUGAAGUUACUACGAAAAACCCAUCUUAAAUAAAUCUCGUAGUCAACAAAGGCCUGAACUAAUCUCAUGAAUCAAAUAAGACAAAAAUCAAGACCCAGGCAGAUGGCCUGAAAAAACAAAUCGUUUGUAACUUGGUCAACUGGAGAAUCGAACCUACCACAGCAUAUUCCAAUUCCUUGACCUCUUUCUAAGUCAUCCCCACGGGUUUUACCUUUAAAAGAGUAAAUUUCGUGGAUGAAAACUAGUGUAAUUCAUGUAGCACUGCUCAAAAUAACAAAGUAGUAAAACAACCGGCCUUGGCGAAAUGUCCUUUCCCUACGCGCCCAGAAUAUUUAAUUAGCAAGAAAGCUCUCCCAUAAUUUCUCAUCUUCUCUAUAUUGUAAACUCUGUUGACAUUCUACCGAUUGCGAAUCAAUACAUUACAAUGCAAUUGUUUCCCGUGAAAGAACCGAGCAACAUUGAAGCAAACGUUAUAAAACUGCAAAAUGAUGUUGUGAUGCUCCCAAUACGUCACAGUUAAUGCAUUUGCUAAAGUCUUUUCACUUUUUUAAGCAUGUAGAUUCAAAGGAUGUGACGCCCUUAGCAUGUCACGGCUAAAGCAGUUACUAAAGUUUUUUCACUUUUUAAGCAUGUAGAAGUCUGUACGAUUAAAGAACACCUAUCACAUAUAAAAUUACAAUGUCCUUUCCCUACACAUUGGGAAUAUUUAAUUAGCAAGGAAGCUCUCCCAUAAUUUCUCAUCUUCUUUAUACAUUGUAAACUCCGUUGACAUUCCACCGAUUGUGAAUCAAUACACUACAAUGCAAUUGUUCCCAAGCAACAUCGAAGCAAACAUUAUAAAACUACAAGACAAUGUUGUGAUGCCCCUAGUACGUCACGGCUAACGCAUUUACUAAAGUCUUUUCACCUUUUUAAGCAAGCAGAAGCCUAUACAGUCAAACAACACCCAUGACAUAUAAAAAUUCAAAGGAUGUGAUGCCUCGGCACGUCACAGCUAAUGCAUUUACUAAAGUCUUUUCACUUUUUAAGCAUAUAGAAGUGUGUACAAUUAAAGAACAUCCAGGACAUAUAAAAUUACAGUUUCCUUUCCCUACACGCCCAAAAUAUUUAAUUAGCAAGGAAGCUCUCCCACAAUUUCUCAUCUUCUCUCUAUCUUGUAAACACCAUUGACAUCCCACUGAUUGUGAAUCAAUACAUUACAAUGCAAUUGUUCCCAAGCAACAUCGAAGCAGACAUUAUAAAACUGCAAGACGAUGUUGUGACUCCCCUAGUAUGUCGCGGCCGACGCAUUUACUGAAGUAUUUUCACUUUUUUAAGCAUGCAAAAAAGUAUAUGGUUAAACAAUAUCCGAGACAUAUAAAAAUUCAAAGGAUGUGAUGCUCCCAGCACGUCACGGCUAACUUACUUACUAAAUUUUUUUCACUUUUUAAGCAGGCAGAAACGUGUAUGGUUAAAGAAUACCCAAGACAUAUAAAAUUACAAUGUCCUUUUCCUACAUGCCAGAAUAUUUACUUAGAAAGGAAACUCUCCCACAAUUUCUCCUCUUCUCUCUAUAUUGUAAACUCCGUUGACAUUCUACCGAUUGUGAAUCAAUACAUUACAAAGGCGUCACUUGGGCGUGUCCCAUUACUGGACCGUCCAUUACCCUGAGGCUUGACUCUUGAGCUAAUUUCUUGUACCAUCACUUGCGCGCGUCAUAUUGCUGUACCAUCCAAUCCAAGACGGUAUGACUAGAAUCUAUUGCUGCUGUUAUUUGUCAAAUGGGGGAAAAUUUGCAGGUGUUCUAGAGAGCCGCGUAUGAAGACCGUGGAGAUGGAAACUGACCAAUCGAUCUCCCGAGUUGACUGGCUUUCGAUAACAUAACGGGAGCGAGCGGGCGACCCCGGAUCGGUGUUUUUGCAUUCGCCAGGAGAGCUUCUGCGGUUCACCUCUUUAACAGAAAUGAUCAGACCCGGUCAACGUGUCUGUCUACAAGUGUGUAGGAAAGGAGCGCAUGCUAUUGUUAGAUGAGCUGCGAUUUGCAGGGACGUGAAGAGCGGUUGAGAGUAUAUUGCUUCGAAGCCACUGAUUAUGACGAACACUACGAACCCAAAAAACAAAAUAAGAGCCACAGAUAGUUUUUUAGCUGCAUCAUCAUCAUACCAUGUCACCGUGCCUGUCGUCAAUGCCAUGUCAUCAUGUGUGCCACGCCAUCACCAUGUCAUCGAAAUAUGCCAUGUCAUUGCUUGCAUGUCAUUGAGUGAUUGUAUGUUAGGUUCAUAAAAUUGUACGUCAUGCUGGAAUAGUUCCAUAACAAUUUUACCACUCAUUGGAAUUAAUUACCGCAAGCCAAGUUGGAAUAGACAUACUUAGUGCGUCGUCGUGUUUAGAGUACUUGGAUUACAUACAUUACAUACAUUACAUUUUAGCGUUAGCUUUCACUAGAUAAGAGAAAACCUUAAAAAGGAUUUGAGUGGAAUUGUCUGUCAAUUAGAAAUCAUAUUUAUGUUAAGAAUGUGAUUUUCUAAUAAAUGUUACAGUUGCUUAUGUUACUUCAAGGUAAGUAAAUCUAUUCCUUACCCUUGCAAUCUGUUCAUCACUUUGAGUAUAGGGUGUUUUAUUAACGGUUGUGCACACGCAUGAUUACCUCACAUCUUAGUGAAAAUGUUUAAAUUUAAUCCAAUGCCCUUGCCAAAUAUUUUUUGAACAAAAGAGGAAGGUACCAAAAGGGUAUUGGAGUAAUCAAGCAUAAUCAAUUCCUUGUUGCCCUCGCGAUCUUGAGUCAGGCUUUCGGCAUCCGCUUAUACUCCAAAUCGACCUAAAUGAAAGUCCUGCUCACUGUGGUGAAUUCGUAGUGUCCAGUGUACUCUUGCAUGCAGCUUUCCGUCUCAUUGAAGUGAGAACCUCCAACUUUUUCAUCUGUAUUCUCUCCGACGUGAUGAACGCGCUUGCUUCUUUAUAUCAGAAAUUUGAAGAGAGAUAAAGGUAAUUUAACGGAAAAUUUUAUUUUCAUAGUGUUCUGUUUAUGCCGAUGUAAGCAAUGUAUGUUAAGCGAUACCAAGUCCCCCGUGAUGCUCUCAAUUCCAAACAACAAAUUUGGGCAAGGCAAACGAGAUGGUAACCGAACUACAGUUGAUGCAGCAGAAUGUGCAGAUUUUAGUCAGCAUGUGUUGCCGUAUGACUUUAGGAGACAGGAUUUGUCUAGCUUCCUAAACACAGAUUCUUGAAUAGGAGGAGCAGAUGGAGAUUCCAGUAUUCCUAAUUGCGAAGCCGAUGGCCGGUGUGAAACUGGACUGUUGAACGCGUCGUGCGGCAGCUCGGGGACUGAGUCCUCCAGCUGGAGGAACCUGAUCACUUGCCCCGCCUUUGGCCUUCUCACGGGGUCGGGGUGCACGCACCACAACCCCACCCUCAUCAGGCACUCCAUUUCCUCCCUCCGGAACCCUGAGCCCAAGGCCUCAUCGGCCGCGCCGAGGAUGUUGCUGGCGAGGUAGAGUUCCCAGACCCACUUGUGCAACGCGACCCAGACCUCUCCGUCCUCAUAGCUCCUCCGGCCGCACGCAAUCUCCAGGGCCACCACGCCGAAGCUGAACAUGUCGGACUCCUUCGUGGCCUUCCCACUAAUGAAGUACUCUGGCGCCAGGUACCCGCAAGUCCCAACCACGUCUGUUGUCUGAGACCUGAACCUGGGGUCAAUGAGCUUGGCCACUCCGAAGUCGCCGAGCCUGGUUGUGAAGCUGGUGUCGAGCAGCACGUUGGCUGCCUUUAUGUCCCGGUGGAGAACCCAUUUCUCGAGCUCCUCGUGGAGGUAGUUAAGGGCGGAUGCCAGGCCGAGCGCCACGCCGUAUCGCACAGCCCACGGCAGGCUUCUCCGGGGCCCAAAGAGGUGGUGGUCGAGGCUGCCAUUGGGCAUGUACUCGUAGACGAGCAAGAACUCACCUUCCUCUUGACACCACCC
rnacentral:lncRNA from 1 species